UUUUUUUUUUUUUCCCUAAGGGAUUGAAAUUAUGGCUAGGAAGGUAUUAACAUACUGGGCCCCCAUCUUCCAGGUACAGAGACAUGUUCACUGAGAAAAGUAUCUUAAAACUAGCUUUACUUGACAUCGUUGGAAUAUUAAGUGAAGAACCUGACCCUGGAAAGGACAAGGUAACCUGCCUAAAGGUGUUCAUCUCUCAUCCCAAAAUCAAUAGGGGUUGAAACCUAAUCUUUCUAACUUUGUUUAAUGGGUAACAGAAAACAGUUUCUGGAUUCUUCACUAGUUUUAUCAUCAUCUUCUGGUGACAUCUACCACUCUCAACUUCUAGCAAUACUACUUACAAAGUCAAGCUCUCAGGUAUUCUUACCCAGUGAAGAAUUUAGUGAAAUGAUCGCUGCCCUGAAUGGAGAAUGACACUGUCAUUAGUCUAAGAUCAUAUUUUUUCCUUAGACUUGCUUGCAUUGUUGACUCGUGCUGAACCUAUAAACAGCUCAGACCUUACUAUCUGAGACUACUAGCAAUU